rnacentral:rRNA from 1 species
UGGCUCAGAUUGAACGCUGGCGGCAGGCCUAACACAUGCAAGUCGAGCGGUAGAGAGAAGCUUGCUUCUCUUGAGAGCGGCGGACGGGUGAGUAAUGCCUAGGAAUCUGCCUGGUAGUGGGGGAUAACGUUCGGAAACGGACGCUAAUACCGCAUACGUCCUACGGGAGAAAGCAGGGGACCUUCGGGCCUUGCGCUAUCAGAUGAGCCUAGGUCGGAUUAGCUAGUUGGUGAGGUAAUGGCUCACCAAGGCGACGAUCCGUAACUGGUCUGAGAGGAUGAUCAGUCACACUGGAACUGAGACACGGUCCAGACUCCUACGGGAGGCAGCAGUGGGGAAUAUUGGACAAUGGGCGAAAGCCUGAUCCAGCCAUGCCGCGUGUGUGAAGAAGGUCUUCGGAUUGUAAAGCACUUUAAGUUGGGAGGAAGGGCAGUUACCUAAUACGUGAUUGUUUUGACGUUACCGACAGAAUAAGCACCGGCUAACUCUGUGCCAGCAGCCGCGGUAAUACAGAGGGUGCAAGCGUUAAUCGGAAUUACUGGGCGUAAAGCGCGCGUAGGUGGUUAGUUAAGUUGGAUGUGAAAUCCCCGGGCUCAACCUGGGAACUGCAUUCAAAACUGACUGACUAGAGUAUGGUAGAGGGUGGUGGAAUUUCCUGUGUAGCGGUGAAAUGCGUAGAUAUAGGAAGGAACACCAGUGGCGAAGGCGACCACCUGGACUGAUACUGACACUGAGGUGCGAAAGCGUGGGGGAGCAAACAGGAUUAGAUACCCUG